rnacentral:rRNA from 1 species
GUUAGGAAUAUUGGACAAUGGGCGCAAGCCUGAUCCAGCCAUGCCGCGUGAGUGAUGAAGGCCUUCGGGUUGUAAAGCUCUUUAGCCGAUGAUUAUAAUGACUGUAGUCGGAAAAUAAGCCCCGGCUAACUUCGUGCCAGCAGCCGCGGUAAUACGAAGGGGGCGAGCGUUAUUCGGAAUCACUGGGCGUAAAGCGUGCGUAGGCGGCUUUGCAAGUUGGGAGUGAAAGCCCAGGGCUCAACCCUGGAAUUGCUCUCAAAACUGCAAGGCUCGAAUUUGGGAGAGGAUAGCGGAAUUGUCAGUGUAGCAGUGAAAUGCGUAGAUAUUGACAGGAACACCAGUGGCGUAAGCGGCUAUCUGGACCGAUAUUGACGCUGAGGCACGAAAGCGUGGGGAUCAAACAGGAUUAGAAACCCCGGUAGUCC